UUCAUCUUGAAGGCGCCCAAACAGGAGGGUCGGAGACUGAAAGCGCCGAACUGGUGCGGAGCAGUUCUGUAUCUUCUUCUUCUUCGCUGGAUUCUGAAGAGAGACGCCGAGAAGAAUAGUGAGGAAGGGAGUGAGGCGCGACUGGAACUUCUUCUCUGAAGGUGGCCGACGGGUUCUGCAGGAGGAGAAGUUCGACACUGUUCACAGCAAGGAGACUGGACGUCAUCUUCUUCUCUUGCUCUUGGACUCGACUGGUUCAGUGAGCGAGAGAGGGAGGAGGCAGACAUUGCGAGAGGCCGAAUCUGGUUUUGAGCAGAGGAGCACGAGCUGUGCAUCACACAGCUGAAGUGAAGGGAGAUGAAUAUUACGGAGCCAAAGCAUUCAUAAACAUUUGGAAGACAAAUGUUCAACGACGCAAUGAAUUUAGUCUCUCUCAAAUUUGGGUUAUGAAUCAAGAUGAUACUGAUAAUGUCGAAAGCAUCGAAGCAGGUUGGCAGAUCCAUCCAAUGCUAUAUGGGGAUGAUAAACCAAGACUUUUUGCAUAUUGGACAAGUGAUUCAUAUGAACAAACUGGCUGUUAUAACCUACAAUGUCCUGGCUUUGUUCAAGUUUCCAAUACGGUAUUGAUGGGA